CCUACGGGCGGCAGCAGUGGGGAAUAUUGCACAAUGGGCGCAAGCCUGAUGCAGCCAUGCCGCGUGUGUGAAGAAGGCCUUCGGGUUGUAAAGCACUUUCAGCGGGGAGGAAGGCGGUGAGGUUAAUAACCUCAUCGAUUGACGUUACCCGCAGAAGAAGCACCGGCUAACUCCGUGCCAGCAGCCGCGGUAAUACGGAGGGUGCAAGCGUUAAGCGGAAUUACUGGGCGUAAAGCGCACGCAGGCGGUCUGUCAAGUCGGAUGUGAAAUCCCCGGGCUCAACCUGGGAACUGCAUUCGGAACUGGCAGGCUAGAGUCUUGUAGAGGGGGGUAGAAUUCCAGGUGUAGCGGUGAAAUGCGUAGAGAUCUGGAGGAAUACCGGUGGCGAAGGCGGCCCCCUGGACAAAGACUGACGCUCAGGUGCGAAAGCGUGGGGAGCAAACAGGAUUAGAUACCCGUGUAGUC
rnacentral:rRNA from 1 species